rnacentral:rRNA from 1 species
AUUGAACGCUGGCGGCAUGCCUUACACAUGCAAGUCGAACGGCAGCACGGGUGCUUGCACCUGGUGGCGAGUGGCGAACGGGUGAGUAAUACAUCGGAACAUGUCCUGUAGUGGGGGAUAGCCCGGCGAAAGCCGGAUUAAUACCGCAUACGAUCUACGGAUGAAAGCGGGGGACCUUCGGGCCUCGCGCUAUAGGGUUGGCCGAUGGCUGAUUAGCUAGUUGGUGGGGUAAAGGCCUACCAAGGCGACGAUCAGUAGCUGGUCUGAGAGGACGACCAGCCACACUGAGACUGAGACACGGCCCAGACUCCUACGGGAGGCAGCAGUGGGGAAUUUUGGACAAUGGGCGAAAGCCUGAUCCAGCAAUGCCGCGUGUGUGAAGAAGGCCUUCGGGUUGUAAAGCACUUUUGUCCGGAAAGAAAUCCUUGGCCCUAAUACGGUCGGGGGAUGACGGUACCGGAAGAAUAAGCACCGGCUAACUACGUG